rnacentral:rRNA from 1 species
GGAGGAAUAUUGGGUCAAUGGGCGGAAGCCUGAACCAGCCAAGUAGCGUGCAGGAUGACGGCCCUACGGGUUGUAAACUGCUUUUAGGCGGGGGUAAAGGGGCGGACGUGUUCCGCCUUUGCAAGUACCGCCAGAAAAAGGACCGGCUAAUUCCGUGCCAGCAGCCGCGGUAAUACGGAAGGUCCGGGCGUUAUCCGGAUUUAUUGGGUUUAAAGGGAGCGUAGGCGGGCUGUUAAGUCAGCUGUGAAAUCCGGCGGCUCAACCGUCGGCCUGCAGUUGAUACUGGUGGCCUUGAGUGCGCGCAGGGGUGUUGGAAUUCAUGGUGUAGCGGUGAAAUGCUCAGAUAUCAUGAAGAACUCCGAUCGCGAAGGCAGAUGCCCGGAGCGCAACUGACGCUG